rnacentral:rRNA from 1 species
GUUGUAUGGUUAAGUGACUAAGCGUACACGGUGGAUGCCUUGGCAGUCAGAGGCGAUGAAGGACGUAUUAACUUGCGAUAAGCCCAGAUUAGGUAGUAAAAACCAUUUGAGUCUGGGAUUUCCGAUGGGGAAACCCACUUGCAUAAGCAAGUAUCGCUGCGUGAAUACAUAGCGCAGCGAGGCGAACCGGGGGAACUGAAACAUCUAAGUACCCCGAGGAAAAGAAAUCAACCGAGAUUCCGAAAGUAGCGGCGAGCGAAAAUUGGACUAGCCCUUAAGCUUUUUUAUGCGUCAGGUGAAACUUCUGGAAAGUUGUGCGAUACAGGGUGAUAGCCCCGUAACCGGCAACGCAUAUAAAGUGAAAUCGAGUAGGCGGGACACGUGAUAUCCUGUCUGAAUAUGGGGGACCAUCCUCCAAGGCUAAAUACUACUGACUGACCGAUAGUGAACCAGUACCGUGAGGGAAAGGCGAAAAGAACCCCUGUGAGGGGAGUGAAAUAGAAACCUGAAACCGUGUACGUACAAGCAGUAGGAGCACCUUCGUGGUGUGACUGCGUACCUUUUGUAUAAUGGGUCAGCGACUUAUAUUCAGUGGCAGGUUAACCAUCUAGGGGAGCCGUAGCGAAAGCGAGUGUUAACUGCGCGACUCAGUCGCUGGAUAUAGACCCGAAACCAGGUGAUCUAGCCAUGGGCAGGUUGAAGAUUGAGUAACAUCAAUUGGAGGACCGAACCGACUAAUGUUGAAAAAUUAGCGGAUGACUUGUGGCUAGGGGUGAAAGGCCAAUCAAACCUGGAGAUAGCUGGUUCUCCCCGAAAGCUAUUUAGGUAGCGCCUCGGACGAAUACUACUGGGGGUAGAGCACUGUUAAGGCUAGGGGGUCAUCCCGACUUACCAACCCUUUGCAAACUCCGAAUACCAGUAAGUACUAUCCGGGAGACACACGGCGGGUGCUAACGUCCGUCGUGGAGAGGGAAACAACCCAGACCGCCAGCUAAGGUCCCAAAUUACUACUAAGUGGGAAACGAUGUGGGAAGGCUCAGACAGCCAGGAUGUUGCUUAGAAGCAGCCAUCAUUUAAAGAAAGCGUAUAGCUCACUGGUCGAGUCGGCCUGCGCGGAAGAUGUACGGGGCUAAGUAGUAAACCGAGCUGCGGCAAUGCACUUUGUGCAUUGGGUAGGGGGAGCGUUCUGUAAGCGGUUGAGGUGUGUGGUAACGCAUGCUGGACGUAUCAGAAGUGCGAAUGCUGACAUGAGUAACGAUAAAGGGGGUGAAAAACCUCCUCGCCGGAAGACCAAGGGUUCCUGUCCAACGUUAAUCGGGGCAGGGUAAGUCGACCCCUAAGGCGAGGCCGAAAGGCGUAGUCGAUGGGAAACGGGUUAAUAUUCCCGUACUUCUUACAAUUGCGAUGGGGGACGGAGAAGGCUAGGUGGGCCUGGCGACGGUUGUCCAGGUUCAAGUGCGUAGGCUGAGAGAUUAGGUAAAUCCGGUUUCUCUUAAGGCUGAGACACGACGUCGAGCUACUACGGUAGUGAAGUCAUUGAUGCCAUGCUUCCAGGAAAAGCCUCUAAGCUUCAGAUUGUAAGGAAUCGUACCCCAAACCGACACAGGUGGUCGGGUAGAGAAUACCAAGGCGCUUGAGAGAACUCGGGUGAAGGAACUAGGCAAAAUGGUACCGUAACUUCGGGAGAAGGUACGCUCUUGAUGGUGAAGUCCCUUGCGGAUGGAGCUGACGAGAGUCGCAGAUACCAGGUGGCUGCAACUGUUUAUUAAAAACACAGCACUGUGCAAAAUCGUAAGAUGACGUAUACGGUGUGACGCCUGCCCGGUGCCGGAAGGUUAAUUGAUGGGGUUAGACUUCGGUCGAAGCUCUUGAUCGAAGCCCCGGUAAACGGCGGCCGUAACUAUAACGGUCCUAAGGUAGCGAAAUUCCUUGUCGGGUAAGUUCCGACCUGCACGAAUGGCGUAAUGAUGGCCACGCUGUCUCCACCCGAGACUCAGUGAAAUUGAAAUCGCUGUGAAGAUGCAGUGUACCCGCGGCUAGACGGAAAGACCCCGUGAACCUUUACUACAGCUUGGCACUGAACAUUGACCCUACAUGUGUAGGAUAGGUGGGAGGCUUUGAAGCAAGUACGCCAGUAUUUGUGGAGCCGUCCUUGAAAUACCACCCUUGUAGUGUUGAUGUUCUAACGUUGACCCCUAAUCGGGGUUGCGGACAGUGCCUGGUGGGUAGUUUGACUGGGGCGGUCUCCUCCCAAAGAGUAACGGAGGAGCACGAAGGUGGGCUAAUCACGGUUGGACAUCGUGAGGUUAGUGCAAUGGCAUAAGCCCGCUUGACUGCGAGAAUGACAAUUCGAGCAGGUGCGAAAGCAGGUCAUAGUGAUCCGGUGGUUCUGAAUGGAAGGGCCAUCGCUCAACGGAUAAAAGGUACUCCGGGGAUAACAGGCUGAUACCGCCCAAGAGUUCAUAUCGACGGCGGUGUUUGGCACCUCGAUGUCGGCUCAUCACAUCCUGGGGCUGAAGUCGGUCCCAAGGGUAUGGCUGUUCGCCAUUUAAAGUGGUACGCGAGCUGGGUUUAGAACGUCGUGAGACAGUUCGGUCCCUAUCUGCCGUGGGCGUUGGAAGAUUGAAGGGGGCUGCUCCUAGUACGAGAGGACCGGAGUGGACGAACCUCUGGUGUUCGGGUUGUGUCGCCAGACGCAUUGCCCGGUAGCUAAGUUCGGAAUCGAUAACCGCUGAAAGCAUCUAAGCGGGAAGCGAGCCCUGAGAUGAGUCUUCCCUGAUACUUUAAGUAUCCUAAAGGGUUGUUCGAGACUAGAACGUUGAUAGGCAGGGUGUGUAAGCGUUGUGAGGCGUUGAGCUAACCUGUACUAAUUGCCCGUGAGGCUUAACCAUACAACACCCAAGGGGUUU